rnacentral:rRNA from 1 species
UACGUAGGUGGCAAGCGUUGUCCGGAUUUACUGGGCGUAAAGAGCGCGCAGGCGGUCGUAUAAGUCGAAUGUGAAAGCCCCUGGCUCAACUAGGGAGAGUCAUUCGAUACUGUUCGACUCGAAGGCAGGAGAGGGAAGUGGAAUUCCGGGUGUAGUGGUGAAAUGCGUAGAUAUCAGGAAGAACACCCGUGGCGAAGGCGGUUCUCUGGGACGGUACUGACGCUGAGACGCGAAAGCGUGGGGAGCGAACAGG